rnacentral:rRNA from 1 species
GAUGAACGCUAGCGGCAGGCCUAACACAUGCAAGUCGAGGGGCAGCACGUCUUCGGAUGGUGGCGACCGGCGCACGGGUGCGUAACGCGUAUGCAACCUACCUCUUACAGUGGGAUAGCCCAGAGAAAUUUGGAUUAAUACCGCAUAGUAUACAGAUUCAGCAUUGGGACUGUAUUAAACAUUUAUGGGUAAGAGAUGGGCAUGCGUUCUAUUAGUUAGUUGGAGUGGUAACGGCACCCCAAGACAGCGAUAGAUAGGGGCCCUGAGAGGGGAGUCCCCACAUUGGUACUGAGACACGGACCAG